AAUAAAAUCUUUAUCUUUAUUAGUUUUAACAAAAUAUUUAAAAAGAAAGAGAAAAAUCUCAAAUUGGGAAAAAGAGAAUUAUAUAUAUAUAGUAACCUAAGAGAAUUAUAUAUAUAUAGUAACCUAUGGCUCUGAUACUAGGAGAAGGGGUCGUAAGACUCCUCGAGAGUCAGACUCUUUUGAGGAGCGUGAAAGGAAACGGCUCCGGGAUCUAUUUGCAGAACCAACAGAUGAGGACUCCUUUGAGGGUUUUACCGAGGGAAUGGAGGAAGAAAUGGUUAGCUCGGAGGAGGAUGACAUGGAAUGGACUCAUGUAAGAGAGGAUUUGGGUGUCACCGGCAAUCAAAGCAUGGGAGGCGAUUGGCGGGUUGCAGGAUCAGACCCAUGGACGGGCUGGAGGGAUGGAGCGGGAUCCACAGCUGGGGAUGCUGUGGGGCGUAGUCAAAGGCGUUGUAGCUCUGAUGAGGAUGAUGAUGGGACACCUGGAAUUGGGAUGGCAGCUGAUAGCGAUGAUGAAGUUUGAACUGGGAUAAAAUGGGGUUUAGGAUCAAUGGCUAAUUGCGUUGGGCAAGGUAAUCUGGACGAACGCUUGGGCUCUUGUUGGGGAACUUCCUGAAGACGGGUGUGAUUCGUUUGCUGGAUACCUUGGACCUCCGUCGUCUUUUUGACGGACAUUAACUACCUACACUGGAUUGACGAAUGGACUGAUUGACCUCGACCUCGGAUUACUCCUUCUGUGGCUAUCGGUGACACUUGUGGAAUUCUAGACGUCUACACUUGGCUUCGACCUCGGACCGGAUUGGGACCCUGCUGACUGCCGUUACCCUGAUUGAUGUGCCUGGACCCGGAUAUCGCUUGUUGCACGGAGGAGUAAACAGUCUGAUUUACUCAGCUCUAGUUUUUGAGUAGCAGAGAAGAAUCUGCUGCCAGUUUAUUGUUUUCAUUCGGACCUCUGUUAAUCCUCUUUUGUUUGCCUUAUUUGCCUGGCUGAAGUAAGCACUUUUGAUUUAACCCGGAUUAAACUUCUGUUUAAUCCGGCUUAUUCUUUUGAACUGUUUUAGCUCAAAUGGAGCAGUUUUCUGUUACUUAUCACACUGAAGUCAAGUGUUUGCCCUGUUUUUUGUUUAUUACAGGCAUUCUUAGUUCUGUAACCUCAAUAAACUGUGUUUUACUCUA